AGUGAACGCUGGCGGCAGGCCUAAUACAUGCAAGUCGAACGGCAGCACAGCAGAGCUUGCUCUGUGGGUGGCGAGUGGCGGACGGGUGAGGAAUACAUGGGAAUCUGCCCAGUCGUGGGGGAUAACGUAGGGAAACUUACGCUAAUACCGCAUGCGCCCUUCGGGGAAAGCCGGGGACCUUCGGGCCUGGCGCGAUUGGAUGAGCCCAUGUCGGAUUAGCUAGUUGGCGGGGUAAUGGCCCACCAAGGCGACGAUCCGUAGCUGGUCUGAGAGGAUGAUCAGCCACACUGGAACUGAGACACGGUCCAGACUCCUACGGGAGGCAGCAGUAGGGAAUAUUGGACAAUGGGCGCAAGCCUGAUCCAGCCAUGCCGCGUGAGUGAAGAAGGCCCUCGGGUUGUAAAGCUCUUUGUCCGGAAAGAAAGCGCCGGGUUAAUACCCUGGUGUCCUGACGGUACCGGAAGAAUAAGCACCGGCUAACUUCGUGCCAGCAGCCGCGGUAAU
rnacentral:rRNA from 1 species